GGGAACAUACCCUUUUCUACGGAAUAGCUCUGGGAAACUGGAAUUAAUACCGUAUACGCCCUACGGGGGAAAGAUUUAUCGGGGAAGGAUUGGCCCGCGUUGGAUUAGCUAGUUGGUGGGGUAAAGGCCUACCAAGGCGACGAUCCAUAGCUAGUCUGAGAGGAUGAUCAGCCACAUUGGGACUGAGACACGGCCCAAACUCCUACGGGAGGCAGCAGUGGGGAAUAUUGGACAAUGGGCGCAAGCCUGAUCCAGCCAUGCCGCGUGAGUGAUGAAGGCCUUAGGGUUGUAAAGCUCUUUCACCGAUGAAGAUAAUGACGGUAGUCGGAGAAGAAGCCCCGGCUAACUUCGUGCCAGCAGCCGCGGUAAUACGAAGGGGGCUAGCGUUGUUCGGAAUUACUGGGCGUAAGGCGCACGUAGGCGGAUAUUUAAGUCAGGGGUGAAAUCCCAGAGCUCAACUCUGGAACUGCCUUUGAUACUGGGUAUCUUGAGUAUGGAAGAGGUAAGUGGAAUUGCGAGU
rnacentral:rRNA from 1 species